GAUAAACGCUGGCGGCGUGCCUAACACAUGCAAGUCGAACGAUGAAGAUUAAAAGAUUUCUUCGGAAUGAACUUAAUUGGAUUAGUGGCGGACGGGUGAGUAACGCGUGAGUAACCUGCCUUGUACAAGGGGAUAGCCGUUGGAAACGACGAAUAAUACCCUAUGACAUCAAAUAAUCGCAUGAUAAUUUGAUCAAAGAUUUAUCGGUAUAAGAUGGACUCGCGUCUGAUUAGCUAGUUGGUAGAGUAAAAGCCUACCAAGGCAACGAUCAGUAGCCGGCUUGAGAGAGUGUACGGCCACAUUGGGACUGAGACACGGCCCAGACUCCUACGGGAGGCAGCAGUGGGGAAUUUUGCACAAUGGGGGAAACCCUGAUGCAGCGACGCCGCGUGAUUUAGAAGGCCUUCGGGUUGUAAAAAUCUUUUGUAUGGGAAGAAAAUGACAGUACCAUACGAAUAAGAACCGGCUAAUUACGUG
rnacentral:rRNA from 1 species